UUAAUAGGGGAGGGGCUAAAUGCCGCAUCAUGUUGUCACCACGACCUAGCCCUCUCCCAUCCAGAUACUUCGACAUUGUGCUCAUCUCAUCUAUACAGUGGACUGCUUGCGACGGAGAUAAAUUCGAAUAUACAGCAACUUCUUUCAGGAGAGCACACCGAGAGAGUUCCCCGAGAGCACCCAUAAGCACCUCGAGAGCCCCUCGAGAGCACGCUGAGACUACCCCUAAAGCACCUCGAGAGUACCUUAUGAGCACCUCGAGAGCCCCUCAAGAGCACGCCGAGAGUACCCCGAUAGCACGCCGAAAGCACCUCGGGAGCACGCCGAGAGUACCCCGAGAGCACGCCGAAAGCACCUCGAGAGCGACUCUAAAAACUCCAAUAACUAUGUAGGAAAGUAGUACGUGCGACCGAUAGACAAAAAUGCUUUCGUACGACAGGUGAGAUAACAAGCGAAAAAUUAAAUGAAAUUUCUUGUACAAAUAUACAGAAGGGAGAAAAGAUGUUAUAUCAUAGUCUCAGAGGUUGAUAUUUUAUCAUGCUUUGAAAUAUCUUUGUUUAUGGUCAACACUUGAGCAAGCUGUGCUUUCCGCAUUUUUAACUCCGUCUUUUGUUAACGGCAUUAUUUAACUGAAUGUUUUGCAAUAUCCUUAUAGAACUAUUGCUUUGUCCCAUUUUUCAGCCAUUUUCGCCGAAAUUACAAGGUCAUUUUUUUUGCGUGUUUCCCAUAUGAUAUCUUCUUUACGAAACAGGGAACUGUAAAAAUAAAUAUAACGCAAAUGUAUUAGGACUCCUUUUCCAGAAGUGCGUAUUCACCCAUAAACUCACACAGCUGCAAAAAGCUGUGUAUCAUAAACUCAAACGGACAUAGGGGAAACGAUUAACUAACAGCUCUUUAGAUAAUUAAUCUAAAUGGCAAAACUUCAAGUACUCAAAGGAUCUUCACCGUAUAGCAAGAGGACAAAUAUUCCAAGUCAUAAAAAAAUAUGAUAAAUACCUGGUUUCACUCAGACAUCGGCGAUGAUACAGCGAGCCGGGCAAGAUAUCCAUGAACUAGAAUGGAUGCAAACUUCACACUAAAUACGUCCGCAGUGACAGCUUGCUGGCUUCCCCGCCAAUCAAACCCUCUGAAAAAAUUACUAAGUUGAGUGCAAGCCCUCUGGCUUCGUUUCAUUUAAAUGAGAAAGGUGUUCAUAACUUGUGCGCCAUUAAAUUCACGAUUUUCAGGAAAUGAAAUGCGCUUUCUCGAUGUAGGUUAAUUUGGUUAGUGAUUGCAUAACGGAAAAAUAUCAUUUGACACAAAGCCCCCCACGGGGUGGUCUAGGGGCCGUUAGAGGGGGGUGCGUGGGGAUAAUAGGUUCCCCACCAGGCGCGAUAUUGGGUGUAGAGUCCUCGUUAUGAAAUGUGUCCAGGAGUCACAGGUAGAAGACAAAAACAACAGCGAACGCUAACUUUUAUAAUUAACCGUUAUUAACUCAGCAAAGCUGCGCCUUAUUUUAUGUAUCUUGAUAGGACCGCUUAUAAAACCUGCACGUAUACAGUAACAGGGAUAUCCAAUGAAGCUAGCCUCGUACAUAGAGACUGGGAUGUAAAACAAACGCCAUGGCACGAGACAGACACGUAGAUGCAGGAUUUCCAAGAAACAUUCAUUAACAAGACGACAAUGAAACAAGACACGUUUGUAAAAACAGGAAUUUCCAAGAAACCCUGAAUAAUAAACUCGUUUAUUACCGAAUCCUCGAAUGAAAUAAAAUACAAUAAAGUUAAUUCAUAGUGGGCCAUA